UUCUGGUUUUUUCAAGGCUCCCCGUUUCACGUGGGGACGCAGAGGCUGUGAAUGGAGAGGGGGAUCAUCGGUGCCCACUGCGGCAGGCGAGGGGACGGGGGGCUCACGCCGCCUGUUAUUGCAUAACCCGGGAACAUGCCGUCCUCCGGUGGGAGCAACGGGAGCGACGGGAGCGACGGGAGUGACGGGAGCGACGGGAGUGACGGCAGCAUCCCACCUCGCCAGCCUUCGGCUGCCCGGCUCCAGCCGAUCGGCACAGGCUUAACUCAGCGCCCGGCCCUGGAAAUCUGCUCUCCCCACUUAGCAAACCCAGACUAAUCCGCUGGAAAACAGGGUUUCAGCAGUAAUCACUGGGUAAGCACAAGGGCCCCUCUGCUUGAGAUGGAUCUCGGUCUGCACACAUCGCUGCUGCUGCUGCAAAAAGCUGCCAGCGACCGAAAGCCCCUCUAGCCGGGCUGGACCGUCACAGUGAGGGAUGCAAUACUUCAAAAGCCAAGAGUGGUAUUUCCAGCCGCCUCCUCUUCUUGAUACCUGUGCACGUGCAGUUUCUCAGCUUGUGCACGUUAACACGCAGAAAUCAGCCUGGCAGAAACCGUCCUCCUCAGGCUUUAGUACGGCCGUCCAGUGCUGCAGGUUGCUGUGAAAGAGAAAUAGCAGCGUCCCAAACCGAUUUCAUGGAGCUCCCAAAACCACCCGUGAGCAACAGCUCUGCUUGGGCAGAGACUUUUUUUUUUUUUUUCUUUUUUUCUUUUUUCUUUUAUUUUUCAGUCCAGGCUUCACUUGUCCCUUUGUUUGCCUGGGAGGUUUUCACCAAGUGCUGAAGAUGCUGAUGUUCCAGGGAUACUCAGAACUGCCAGAAACGUUGCAUCGCUGGCUGGUCCAUCAGAGUCUGUAUCAGCUCCAGCCCUCCGGUCCAGCCGAAACUAUUCGCUUUGCCUCCAAGCUGCACCCACAGUCUAGAUGUGAGGUGCGUGCCUGACUGAGAAUUCCUCUUAAAUAUUCACAGUGUGAAAGCUCGGAAAAAUCAGAGCUUCAUAGGGCCUUAAAAUUUGGCUUGCACCAGUAAUUAAGAAAGGGCUGAGAUGGGCUCCUUCUGCCGGAGUCUGGCAGGGGGCUGCUUCACCCCGACCCCAAUUCCAUCCCUGAAGCUGUUGGGCACAAUGAUUUCUCUUCGGGAAGUUUUGGGAAGUUUAACCUACAAACCAGGGGCUGGCUGGGCACGCGGGGAUUUGUGGUGGCCACCGCUCCGGCUCUCGCUGUCUCAGGUGCGCGCCAAGUGACGCGGGAUGUUGUGCUUCAUGCGACACUGGCCCGAGUUAACCCAUAGCCCUAUUUUCCAUCUGUAACCAUGGCAACCCCAGUUAUCUUGCAGAGGUGCCUGUCACCCCGUGGUAGUAACACCUUGCUCGUCACAGCCGAACCUACAGUCCCACCGCUGGGACUGUCCAUGUGCACAGUCCGGUUGCCUGAAACUGCAAAAAAAAAAAAAAUUAAAAAAAACCACCCCAAAAGCGAGGUGGCGUUUGCAGGAUCACCGUUUCUAACGCAAUCCUGGCGGAGGCUGAGUGGGAGGUGGGCAGAAGGCAGAGGAAGAGCCGGGAAUGCCGGAGCAGUUCAGGCACAGUCCCGGCUCUCGGCAAUGUG